UACGUAGGGUGCAAGCGUUAAUCGGAAUUACUGGGCGUAAAGCGUGCGCAGGCGGUUUUGUAAGUCUGACGUGAAAUCCCCGGGCUCAACCUGGGAAUUGCGUUUGAGACUGCAAGGCUAGAAUCUGGCAGAGGGGGGUAGAAUUCCACGUGUAGCAGUGAAAUGCGUAGAGAUGUGGAGGAACACCGAUGGCGAAGGCAGCCCCCUGGGUCAAGAUUGACGCUCAUGCACGAAAGCGUGGGGAGCAAACAGG
rnacentral:rRNA from 1 species